rnacentral:rRNA from 1 species
CGCCUACGGGAGGCAGCAGUGAGGAAUAUUGGUCAAUGGGCGCGAGCCUGAACCAGCCAAGUCGCGUGAGGGAAGACGGUCCUAUGGAUUGUAAACCUCUUUUGUCGGGGAGCAAAAGACGUCACGUGUGGCGCCACUGAGAGUACCCGGAGAAAAAGCAUCGGCUAACUCCGUGCCAGCAGCCGCGGUAAUACGGAGGAUGCGAGCGUUAUCCGGAUUUAUUGGGUUUAAAGGGUGCGUAGGCGGAUCGUUAAGUCAGUGGUCAAAUUGAGGGGCUCAACCCCUUCCCGCCAUUGAAACUGGCG